UGGAGAAAGCGUUUGUAGUCCCGGUUCGUAACCCUCCCUAGUCCCGGUUUUCAAAUCGGGACUACUAAUCCGGGACUAGAGAUGGCUCAGCCACGUGACCGGCUGAGCCAUCUUUAAUCCCGGUUGGUGUUACCAACCGGGACUAAGGAUCGAGCUGACC
rnacentral:misc_RNA from 1 species